UACGGGGGGGGCAAGCGUUGUUCGGAAUUACUGGGCGUAAAGGGCUCGUAGGCGGCCAACUAAGUCAGACGUGAAAUCCCUCGGCUUAACCGGGGAACUGCGUCUGAUACUGGAUGGCUUGAGUUUGGGAGAGGGAUGCGGAAUUCCUGGUGUAGCGGUGAAAUGCGCAGAUAUCAGGAGGAACACCUAUUGCGAAGGCAGCUCGCUGGGACGUAACUGACGCUGAGACGCGAAAGCGUGGGGAGCAAACAGG
rnacentral:rRNA from 1 species